CGCGUAGCAUGUGAUUUUACGUGAAAUAAUGCGCGACUUGCGACUUGAUAACCAGUGGGUCUUCCCUGUAUUAAAAUUUUUUUUUUCUAUUUUUAAAAACCGAUUUCAUAUUGGAGGAGAUGUAGACCACCACAAAACCACCAAAAACUUCAAAAAGGGAAAAGAAAGAGGAUAUGAGAGCGCAAACCUCGUAUGUCCACCUCCCUCAGAGAUAACAAGAUCAAAACCUCCCCCAUUGAAAAAUGGAUCUUUUUUCAUUUUUAGAGCUGUCCACCCUGUAAAAAUAAUGGGGUGCUCGUAGAGGAAGAAUAUAGUGUGGUUGGGUUGUUGUAUUUAUUAGUGUGGAGGACGCCUUAUAGGAAGCCCGUCUUUGCUAAAGUUUUAUUAUAUCAAU
rnacentral:lncRNA from 1 species